CCUACGGGAGGCAGCAGUGAGGAAUAUUGGUCAAUGGACGAGAGUCUGAACCAGCCAAGUAGCGUGAAGGAUGACUGCACUAUGGGUUGUAAACUUCUUUUAUAUGGGAAUAAAAUGUUCCACGUGUGGGAGUUUGUAUGUACCAUAUGAAUAAGGAUCGGCUAACUCCGUGCCAGCAGCCGCGGUAAUACGGAGGAUCCGAGCGUUAUCCGGAUUUAUUGGGUUUAAAGGGAGCGUAGGUGGAUUGUUAAGUCAGUUGUGAAAGUUUGCGGCUCAACCGUAAAAUUGCAGUUGAAACUGGCAGUCUUGAGUACAGUAGAGGUGGGCGGAAUUCGUGGUGUAGCGGUGAAAUGCUUAGAUAUCACGAAGAACUCCGAUUGUGAAGGCAGCUCACUGGACUGCAACUGACACUGAGGCUCGAAAGUGUGGGUAUCAAACAGGAUUAGAUACCCCUGUAGUC
rnacentral:rRNA from 1 species